rnacentral:rRNA from 1 species
UUGGAGGGCAAGUCUGGUGCCAGCAGCCGCGGUAAUUCCAGCUCCAAUAGCGUAUAUUAAAGUUGUUGCAGUUAAAAAGCUCGUAGUUGAAUUUCGGGAUUCAUCCGUUGGUCGGGCUUCACGGUCCGUACUGGUGUGAUGGGUUCCUACCUUCUGAAUAACCGGCAUGCCAUUAAUUUGGUGCGCCGGGGAAGCAGAACUAUUACCUUGAAAAAAUUAGAGUGCUUAAAGCAGGCAAGUGCCUGAAUAGGUUAGCAUGGAAUAAUAAAAUAGGACGGCAUGGUUCUAUUUUGUUGGUUUCUAGGAUCACCGUAAUGAUUAAUAGGGAUAGUUGGGGGCAUUAGUAUUCAAUUGUCAGAGGUGAAAUUCUUGGAUUUAUUGAAGACUAACUUCUGCGAAAGCAUUUGCCAAGGAUGUUUUCAUUAAUCAAGAACGAAAGUUAGGGGAUCGAAGACGAUCAGAUACCGUCGUAGUCUUAACCAUAAACUAUGCCGACUAGGGAUCGGACGAUGUUAAUAUUUUAAUGACUCGUUCGGCGCCUUACGGGAAAC